rnacentral:rRNA from 1 species
GACGAACGCUGGCGGCGUGCUUAACACAUGCAAGUCGAACGGAAAGGCCCUGCUUUUGUGGGGUGCUCGAGUGGCGAACGGGUGAGUAACACGUGAGUAACCUGCCCUUGACUUUGGGAUAACUUCAGGAAACUGGGGCUAAUACCGGAUAUGAGCUCCUGCUGCAUGGUGGGGGUUGGAAAGUUUCGGCUGUUGGGGAUGGACUCGCGGCUUAUCAGCUUGUUGGUGGGGUAGUGGCUUACCAAGGCUUUGACGGGUAGCCGGCCUGAGAGGGUUGCCGGCGACAUUGGGACUGAGAUACGGCCCAGACUCCUACGGGAGGCAGCAGUGGGGAAUAUUGCACAAUGGGCGGAAGCCUGAUGCAGCAACGCCGCGUGCGGGAUGACGGCCUUCGGGUUGUAAACAGAUUUCGCCUGUGACGAAGCGUGAGUGACGGUAAUGGGUAAAGAAGCACCGGCUAACUACGUG